AUUGAACGCUGGCGGCAUGCCUUACACAUGCAAGUCGAACGGCAGCACGGGUGCUUGCACCUGGUGGCGAGUGGCGAACGGGUGAGUAAUACAUCGGAACGUACCUUAUCGUGGGGGAUAACGCAGCGAAAGCUGUGCUAAUACCGCAUACGCCCUGAGGGGGAAAGCGGGGGAUCGAAAGACCUCGCGCGAUUAGAGCGGCCGAUGCCUGAUUAGCUUGUUGGUGGGGUAAAAGCCCACCGAGGCGACGAUCGGUAGCUGGUCUGAGAGGACGAUCAGCCACACUGGGACUGGUACACGGCCCAGACUCCUACGGGAGGCAGCAGUGGGGAAUUUUGGACAAUGGGGGCAACCCUGAUCCAGCAAUGCCGCGUGAGUGAAGAAGGCCUUCGGGUUGUAAAGCUCUUUUGUCAGGGAAGAAACACCGGCUCUAACACAGUCCGGGAAUGACGGUACCUGAAGAAUAAGCACCGGCUAACUACGUGCCAGCAGCCGCGGUAA
rnacentral:rRNA from 1 species